UAAGAAAUAUAGCUACGUGUAGUUAUUUGCCGGUACCGUAUGAAUAAGCAUCGGCUAACUCCGUGCCAGCAGCCGCGGUAAUACGGAGGAUGCGAGCGUUAUCCGGAUUCAUUGGGUUAAAGGGUGCGUAGGCGGAAGUAUAAGUCAGGGGUGAAAGUUUGUGGCUCAACCAUAAAAUUGCCUUUGAUACUGUAUUUCUUGAGUACAUUUGAGGUAGGCGGAAUGUGUUGUGUAGCGGUGAAAUGCUUAGAUAUAACACAGAACACCGAUUGCGAAGGCAGCUUACUAAACUAGUAACUGACGCUGAUGCACGAAAGCGUGGGGAUCGAACAGGAUUAGAUACCCCUGGUAG
rnacentral:rRNA from 1 species